rfam:Anoxybacillus amylolyticus strain DSM 15939, complete genome.
CUCUUAUCAAGAGCAGGCGGAGGGACGAGCCCAAUGAAGCCCGGCAACCGGCGAUGACGCACGGUGCUAAUUCUUGCAGCGAUACGCUGAGAGAUAAGAG